CCUGUAGGCGGUAGGUUAUGUCGGGUGUGAAAGCCCGGGGCUCAGCUCCGGAAGUGCAUCCGAAACUGGCCCACUGGAGCGCGGUAGAGGAGGGUGGAAUUCCUGGUGUAGCGGUGAAAUGCGUAGAUAUCAGGAGGAACACCGGCGGCGAAGGCGGCCCUCUGGACCGUUGCUGACGCUGAGACGCGAAAGCGUGGGGAGCAAACAGGAUUAGAUACCCUGGUAGUCCACGCUGUAAACGAUGGGUACUAGGUGUUCGGGGUGUUGACCCCCUGAGUGCCGGCGCUAACGCAUUAAGUACCCCGCCUGGGGACUACGGCCGCAAGGUUAAA
rnacentral:rRNA from 1 species